AAUGGAGAUUUAUAUUAUUAUGGUAUCGGUCUCCUAAGCACUUAGAACUGAAGUUGUGAACAUCAGUAGUGUGAUAUUGUUUAGACUGAGUAUGGAUGCUUUCCAUUUUUAUGCAGCUGGACUGCUGAAUAAAUUAUAGCAGCCUGGUGGUCGUGGAAAUAUAUAUAUAUAUAUAUAUAUAUAUAUAUAUAUAUAUAUUUUUUUUUCAUUAUUACGCAAGCGAAGGCACGUAGCGCUGUUUCUUCUCAGUUAUUGUCUGCUGCAGAUAUUGCGUGUGAAGUAACAGAGUUAAAGUUCUUAAAACAGUCUGUGUUAGAUGGAGAAGGGAACUACAGACGUGUGAGAAAUCUGAAGUGGAAUCAUUUCACUCCUUUGAAGAAGUGAGGAAAGCUAUCAGUGAAUUUGAGGAAAACGUAAAAUCCAAUUUCAUUGUUGUGGAACAGAACAAACACUUUUCGAAUGAAAAUUUUUGGCCAGCUCUGAAGACAAGAAUUCAUUGGCAGCAACAAACCCUACAAGGUGUAAUUGUGAUACCCUUCAACGGUAUUCCAUAUGUGAUUAUUGGGCGGAAAGUUCUAAUGUGUCAUUUGGGAAGAGAUUUGGCAGUUGCCAAGAAAAGGAAAUAUGCUGAACAGAGAAACAAAAAACAGUAAAUUUAACAGUGUCAUCUCACCUUGACAACCCUUUGGAAUGGAUCAUUAUUACUUAAAAUACCUGGACUGUGAACCUCUCUUUACAAAUGUACUAACACAAGGAGACAAAAGACAUGAAAUUGCCAUUUAUUUUCACUAUACCAACAUGUGAAGAACAUUGUAAGAGUGCAUUGGACCAAUACCAAAUGGAGAUGAACACAUUAUCUUACAACAAAGACAGCUUAUUCAGCAUACCAAAAAGAUGAAUUGUCCAGCAAAAAUCCUUAUUUAUCAUGUCAUGUCUUUUCUAGAUUAUAAGAUCCACAGUGUCACUGAGAAAAGAAGAAAACUGGCAUCUCAGAAACUGAAGUCUGCUCUUCAGAAGAAUACCAGAAAUAUUCAUGUACUGCAUACAUAUUUGACAACAUUUCCUAAACGCUCAGACCAUGUCAAUCAUGCAGUGAGUGGAGAGGUA